ACCUGGCUGGCUCAGUUGGAAGAGCAUGUGACUCUUGAUCUCGGGGUUGUGAGUUUGAGCCCCACUUUGGGUG
rnacentral:tRNA from 1 species